AUGAGAUUGUGAGCGCUCGGAACAGAAGUAAGGAGUGAUCGUCGGUGCAUAAGGCAUUAUUAAGGCUUCGAAGUGAAGGAGUACAUGAACGAACUGAAACACACCAGAAAGAUGGGCAUUCCAAGAUUAAUAUGCAGGCAACUCCAUGAUGGGUGACCCAUGGAAAGUUUAUUGGGGAACGUGUGACUGAGGACAAAAUAUGCGUUAAUGUGUGGGGACGGUCGUCAAGUCUGGAACCUGGUCGUUACAGAGAUUACUUUGAAAUUAGGUUUAUGGCAAGUAUGAAUAUACUAUAACUUAUAAACGGAUCGGACAAUAAAUUACAUGUAUAUAGAGUAUUUAUUUUCUAAUUUUUAAUAUUAUUAUAUACUGCCUCUGUCUUAUUGA